GAUGAAGAACGUAGCGAAAUGCGAUAAGUAAUGUGAAUUGCAGAAUUCAGUGAAUCAUCGAAUCUUUGAACGCACAUUGCGCCCCUUGGUAUUCCGAGGGGCAUGCCUGUUCGAGCGUCAUUACACCACUCAAGCUAUGCUUGGUAUUGGGCGUCGUCCUUAGUUGGGCGCGCCUUAAAGACCUCGGCGAGGCCACUCCGGCUUUAGGCGUAGUAGAAUUUAUUCGAACGUCUGUCAAAGGAGAGGAACUCUGCCGACUGAAACCUUUAUUUUUCUAGGUUGACCUCGGAUCAGGUAGGGAUACCCGCUGAACUUAAGCAUAUCAUAAGCGGAGA
rnacentral:misc_RNA from 1 species